GGCUGUAGCUCAGAGGUAGAGUGCCUGCCUCACACGUGUGAGGCCCUGGGUUCGAUCCUCAGCACCA
rnacentral:tRNA from 1 species